rnacentral:lncRNA from 1 species
AGAAAAUUCAGGAAGGAACUGUACUUGAACAUGGGACUUCAAGUCUAAAAAUAACCAUUGGGUUUGUGGCUUGUGACUGAAGGCAGCUGAGCGGGACACAUGUAUUUGUGCCACGUGACACAUGUAUUACUGCCAUAUUUUCACCAUUCAUCCCUCUGGUAAAGGACAUUAAGUUGUUUCCCUUUCCUGGCCACUGUGGAUGGGGCAGCCAUGAACAUUGCUGAGCAAGUACCAGUGGGGUAGGAUGCCCAGUUGUGGGGUAGGAUGCCCAGUUGUGGGGUAGGAUGCCCAGUUGUUGAGUAGGAUGCCCAGUUGUGGGGUAGGAUGUCCAGUUGUUUGGGCACAGGCUAAGGAGUUGUAUAGCUGGGUCAUAUGACAGAUUUAUAGCUUUUAGAAUUUUUCUUUCGAAGAUUCUCCAUACUGAUUUCCACAGAGGCUGCACCCAUUUGCGUUCCUGCAGCACCGGGUAGAAGCUGUUUGUUGUCUGUUUAUUAUUAUUAUUAUUCAUCUUAGCUAUCUGAUUGGGGUGAGAUGAAAUCUCAGUUUUUUUAAUUUACGUUUCCUUAAUUAAUUACAUCUUCCUUUCCAGGGAUGAUGAAUCUUUCUGAGGUAUUUCUUAGCUUUGUAUUUCUUCUACAGAGAGCUAUGUUUAGAUCCCUAAGCCAAUUACAACUGGGUUAUUUUCUUCCUAAACCCUUUGGGCUUUUUGUUGUUCUUCUUUGUAUAUUCUGUAUAUUAAUCCUCUGUUAGAUGUAUGUCUAGAAGCGUUCUCUUCCAUUCUGUGAGUUUCUUCUCCUCUUGAUUGUUUCCUUAAUUGUACAGAAAUGUUCUAGUUGUGUGAGGUCCCAGUUAUCAGUUGUUGGCCUUAAUUCCUUGGCAAGUAGAGUCCUGCUCAGGGAGGCCUUCCUACACAUAUGUUCUACAUGUGCUGCCCAUGUCUCCUUCCUACAGGUGUGUCCCACAGGUGCUGCCCAUGUCUCCUUUCUACACAUAUGUUCUACAGGUGUUGCCCAUGUUUUCUUCUAGUGGUUUUAGUGUUUGGAGUUUCAGAUUGAGGUGUUUAUCCACUUGGACCUAAUCUUUCUACAGGGUGAUGGAUGUGGCUCUAACUUCAUACUUCUGAAUGUCGACAUCCAUUUCCCAAGCAACUUUUGUUGAAGACACUGUGUUUUGCUCCGCAUGGUUUUUGACUUUGUCAGUUGUCAGAAGGCUCUAAUGAUGGCGAUGUUCUCAAGGGCAGAGAGGACGAUCCGUUUGCCUCUAGGAAGUUCAUUCCUUUUACACACGUAAACAAACAAAACAAAACCUACUAGGCACUAGGACCUUAUGACUAACCACAUGACUCAUUUCCAGCACACGCGUGUGCGCGCGUGCACACACACACAUUUGGGUGGUGUGGGAGGUGCAGUCAGACAGACAGGAAUACACCUGUCUUAGUUGCUUAUCAGGCCUGGGCUGUAGCUCAGUUGGUAGAGUGCUCCCCUAGCUCAACCCCAUAAAGCUGGCAUGGUUACAACACACCUGUCUCAGCACUCAGGACUUGGAGUCAAGAGGAUCAGAAGUUCAAAGCCAUCCCUGACUACAUAUUGGAUUUGAGAUCAAAGUAGAAGAAUAUAUAUUUUCUUCCCCCAAACAGCCAGCAAUCUUACAAACUUCAGGGAAGAGUUCAUUAAAAACGAUUCUAGGCGCUGGUGAGAUGAAUCUGUCAGUGAGUAAGGAUGGUUGCCGCCAAGCUCAAGGACAUGAACUGAAUCCCGGUACCCGCAUGCUGAAAGGAGAAAAAGGGGGUAAGAGGGGAGGAAGAAAGAGAGAGGUCGCGGGAGAAGGCCAAGGAGCAAGCCACAUGCUUCAAA